AUCGAAUGCUGGCGGCAGGCCUAACACAUGCAAGUCGAACGAGUGGCGGACGGGUGAGUAAUGUAUGGGUAACUGCCCGAUGGAGGGGGAUAACUACUGGAAACGGUAGCUAAUACCGCAUACCAUCGGAUGUGCCCAGAUGGGAUUAGCUAGUAGGUGGGGUAACGGCCUACCUAGGCGACGAUCCCUAGCUGGUCUGGGAGGAUGACCAGCCGCACGGGAACGUGGACACGGGCCUGGCGCCUACGGGAGGCAGCAGUGGGGAAGAGGGCAUAGUUGGCGCGAGCCUGGUUCAGCCAGGGGACGUGUAUGGAGAAGACCUUCGGUUUGUAAAGUACGUUCAGGGAUGAGGCGGUACUCGCAGAAGAAGCACCGGCUAACUCCGUGCCAGCAGCCGCGGUAAUAC
rnacentral:rRNA from 1 species